GACGAACGCUGGCGGCGUGCUUAACACAUGCAAGUCGAACGGAAAGGCCCUGCUUUUGUGGGGUGCUCGAGUGGCGAACGGGUGAGUAACACGUGAGUAACCUGCCCUUGACUUUGGGAUAACUUCAGGAAACUGGGGCUAAUACCGGAUAGGAGCUCCUGCUGCAUGGUGGGGGUUGGAAAGUUUCGGCGGUUGGGGAUGGACUCGCGGCUUAUCAGCUUGUUGGUGGGGUAGUGGCUUACCAAGGCUUUGACGGGUAGCCGGCCUGAGAGGGUGACCGGCCACAUGGGGACAGAGAUACGGCCCAGACUCCUAGGGGAGGCAGCAGUGGGGAAUAUUGCACAAUGGGCGGAAGCCUGAUGCAGCAACGCCGCGUGCGGGAUGACGGCCUUCGGGUUGUAAACCGCUUUCGCCUGUGACGAAGCGUGAGUGACGGUAAUGGAUAAAGAAGCACCGGCUAACUACGUG
rnacentral:rRNA from 1 species